GAUGAACGCUGGCGGCGUGCCUAAUACAUGCAAGUCGAGCGAACAGACGAGGAGCUUGCUCCUCUGACGUUAGCGGCGGACGGGUGAGUAACACGUGGAUAACCUACCUAUAAGACUGGGAUAACUUCGGGAAACCGGAGCUAAUACCGGAUAAUAUAUUGAACCGCAUGGUUCAAUAGUGAAAGACGGUUUUGCUGUCACUUAUAGAUGGAUCCUCGCCGCAUUAGCUAGUUGGUAAGGUAACGGCUUACCAAGGCAACGAUGCGUAGCCGACCUGAGAGGGUGAUCGGCCACACUGGAAAUGAGACACGGUCCAGACUCCUAUGGGAGGCAGCAGUAGGGAAUCUUCCGCAAUGGGCGAAAGCCUGACGGAGCAACGCCGCGUGAGUGAUGAAGGUCUUCGGAUCGUAAAACUCUGUUAUUAGGGAAGAACAAAUGUGUAAGUAACUAUGCACGUCUUGACGGUACCUAAUCAGAAAGCCGCGGCUAACUACGUG
rnacentral:rRNA from 1 species